rnacentral:tRNA from 2 species
CGAGGAUUAGCCAAGCGGAUAAGGCAGUGGAAUUUGACUCCACGACCGCAGGUUCGAUUCCUGCACCCUCGA